CCCGUCGCCUUCCUCUUCCUCUCUACCGGCGCUCACUUACCCUCUUCCACAACUCUUCUUUCUCUUCACCUUCUUUUGUGCUCCCUUCCACAGGCAUCACCGUGCUCAUGGUUGACAAUGCUGGUAUUGCUCCUGCUCCUAUGAGGCAUCCCGUUUCCAAGCAGGGUUUGGAUAGUCGCAACAAACAGGAAAUCCAGGCUUCUAAGGAAUAUUGUGUGAGGUUCAUCCGAAGGUUAGGAAAAAAUUGGACAGGGGAUGCGUAGCCUGCAAUUCGAGCGUUGGGGCAGUGUUCUUGUUGCUUGAAACAGUUGUGAAAACUGACCGUUAGCUGGCACUGCAGAUGAGGAAAGAACAGAAGAAAUGAGUGUAUGUUGUACUGUGCAGAGAAGAGCAAUUAUUUAUCCAACUGUUGCUGCCUUAAUGAUAUGGUUGAACUGUCGGAAAGAGAUUGGAUCCUCCUUUCUGAGGAAGGACAAAUGAUGCAUGGUGAAUACAAGAAUGCCUGUGUCUCCACAAUCCUCAUCAUCCCUUGUGCAUCACCAAAGAGGACACGGACACACAUGUUAGAGACACAGAUCUAAAGCUGCAUGAUUGGGGAUGUGGUAAAUGACAUGGUCAUUCUGCGUGCAUUACUGCAGGGUCAUACUACUUUUAUACUGUGCAGGAACGGCAGGGGGAGGAGGGCAAAACGUGGCUCCAAUUGUGAGACCCCCCAGUCCCACAGCAGAAGGCCUAGGAAUAAUGGGCAUGGAGUAGGUCGAGAGUGUACUUGAUUGUCUCCAUGCUCCCUUUC